UAAGAGCAGGGUUCGCUGGAUGUCUGCGAGUAGAUUAUCCCCAGAUAAGUAUAGGAUGCAUCUGAUUAUUUUAACUAUGCUGAAUACACCGAAUUAUUAAAUUGAGUAUUUUUCUUGAGUUUCUACAGCUGGGGCAUUUGUCUCUCUUAUGGGGUAAUAGACCGGAUCAACGACAUAGAUAAGGUUCUAUAGGAGAUUAGGCCCUAAUCUAUUGGUCUAGGUUUUUCAUUUCUCUCUGCUCUCUUGGUUCAGUCCCUGAUCAAGGCCAGGGCGCCGUGGAGCUCAUGCUCAAGAGAGAGUGCUAUACCUAUGUUGCAUAUAGAAAACUCAUUCCUUCACUGGAGGAAUGAGCGCUUGAGGAGCUCCUCUUCACCAGCAGCAAGGUCAUAUUUAGUCCAUAUGAAGCAAGUACUUUUUGUAUCACACAGAGGAACUGUGGUAUUCUCCAACUUCUGAAGCAGAGAUUGUUAGUAUUUUGCUACAUUUUUCUUGUGAGCAAAUAAGGUUUCUCCCCUCUUUGGGUUACUCUGCAUGAUCUUUACUUAAACUGAAACCGUGAGUGUGUUCUAUGUAAUUUUCACUAACAAAAUAUAUUAGCUGUCACAUAGAAAAGAUAAUGCAUUUCAAUUUUGAGUUUGGUUGCCACGACUUGACCAAGUGCACAUGCACUUCCAUUUUAACACAUGAGACAUUUUCUUCUAUUAUAAUUAAUACGCAUUGUUCUGAUCCUGCAGCUAGCAUACCAUACUUUCUUUAGUAUUUUAAGAUCAUGUUUAGAACAUAUCAAGUGACUGAUUCUUUUUUGGGUUGCUCGCUCAUUGCCAAGAUAGGUGUGCUU